ACGGUAAGCGUGAUUAAUUGUAUUUGACUGUUUUAAAACAUGGCUCUGGAUAUAAUGCUUGCAUAUAGGGGGGAUCAGUGCGAAAAGCUUCAUGCACAGUUACGCGCAGCGUCUUGCAUGACCUCAGCACUGCAUGACAGCAAACGGCACAGGCAGAGCUUCGCUUCUCAUUCGUGCGAGCAGCCAAAGCCAAGAACAGACCGCACUGCUGCAGCUGUCACCUGUGCCGAUUUUAUCUCCACUAAAUCUGCCCUGGAGUCGCACUGAAGGACGAUCGAAAAAUACUAAAUCAUAAUUAUGCGGUAUUUUUUUUUUUAUUUAUUUAGAAUUGUUCCGAAACUGCGAAGUACUUUCAGAAUGAAUUGGAAACGAUAGAGAGCAAAUGCACCGUCAAAAAACCAAGCACCGUUCUUCACGUCAAAGGAAUUUUGGAAAAGAUAAGAGUCAAGAAGGAUGCGAAGUGCAUCUUUAAGACCAACGAGACGGUGUCUUACAAGUCCUUUCUCGACAAAUUUAAGAAUCUCGUAGAGCAAUACAACAGCUCUCUCGAUAACUGCACCACCUCUUAAUCUAGUUUGCUGUACCAGAAAAUACAGUUUUACUUUAUCAUUGGUUGAAUAAUAAUGAUAACGAUAAUAAUAAUCGCUCGUGCCUUCAAAUUAUUUUUGUACUUUUUAUAAGGUUUACACUGUGCCUUGUAUGCUUAAGAACAUUAUGGACUUUAUUUAUUUUGUAUUGUAAAUUAACAUGUGUGCGUAAACUUGUUGAAUGUUCUACUGCUGAUGUGAAAUACAAGACAGUUCUCAGGGUUUUACUUGAAUGUAUGUCAUAAGCUCUAAAACAUCUUACUAAAAUAUAAUGUAUUUAUUUAUUUAAUUCUAUUUAUUUAAAAGCGUAUUUAUAAAACUGUAAUAAUGAUUUUGUUUAAAUAAACAAUUGCACUGAAGGUAUUUGCAAA